rnacentral:rRNA from 1 species
AGUGAACGCUGGCGGUAGGCCUAACACAUGCAAGUCGAACGGCAGCACAGUAAGAGCUUGCUCUUACGGGUGGCGAGUGGCGGACGGGUGAGGAAUACAUCGGAGUCUACUUUUUCGUGGGGGAUAACGUAGGGAAACUUACGCUAAUACCGCAUACGACCUACGGGUGAAAGCAGGGGAUCUUCGGACCUUGCGCGAUUGAAUGAGCCGAUGUCGGAUUAGCUAGUUGGCGGGGUAAAGGCCCACCAAGGCGACGAUCCGUAGCUGGUCUGAGAGGAUGAUCAGCCACACUGGAACUGAGACACGGUCCAGACUCCUACGGGAGGCAGCAGUGGGGAAUAUUGGACAAUGGGCGCAAGCCUGAUCCAGCCAUACCGCGUGGGUGAAGAAGGCCUUCGGGUUGUAAAGCCCUUUUGUUGGGAAAGAAAAGCAGCAGGUUAAUACCCCGCUGUUCUGACGGUACCAAAAGAAUAAGCACCGGCUAACUUCGUG